GACGAACGCUGGCGGCGUGCCUAAUACAUGCAAGUUGAGCGCUGAAGGUUGGUACUUGUACCAACUGGAUGAGCAGCGAACGGGUGAGUAACGCGUGGGGAAUCUGCCUUUGAGCGGGGGACAACAUUUGGAAACGAAUGCUAAUACCGCAUAAAAACUUUAAACACAAGUUUUAAGUUUGAAAGAUGCAAUUGCAUCACUCAAAGAUGAUCCCGCGUUGUAUUAGCUAGUUGGUGAGGUAAAGGCUCACCAAGGCGAUGAUACAUAGCCGACCUGAGAGGGUGAUCGGCCACAUUGGGACUGAGACACGGCCCAAACUCCUACGGGAGGCAGCAGUAGGGAAUCUCCGGCAAUGGACGAAAGUCUGACCGAGCAACGCCGCGUGAGUGAAGAAGGUUUUCGGAUCGUAAAACUCUGUUGGUAGAGAAGAACGUUGGUGAGAGUGGAAAGCUCAUCAAGUGACGGUAACUACCCAGAAAGGGGCGGCUAACUACGUG
rnacentral:rRNA from 1 species